rnacentral:rRNA from 1 species
GGAUGCGAUCAUACCAGCACUAAAGCACCGGAUCCCAUCAGAACUCCGAAGUUAAGCGUGCUUGGGUGAGAGUAGUACUAGGAUGGGUGACCUCUUGGGAAGUCCUCGUGUUGCAUUCC